AGUCUUUUGAAAUUUUAUGAAAGAUAUUUUCUGCUCAGUGGUUUUAAACAGCCGCGGUAAUUUGACCGUGCGAAGGUAGCAUAAUCAUUUGCCUUGUAAUUUAAGGCUCGUAUGAAUGGGGGUACAAAGGCUUUUCUGUCUUAAUUAAAUUUUUGGAAAUUGUUUUUAUUGUGAAGAAACAAUAAUAAGGUAAAGGGACAAGAAGACCCUUUUGAGCUUUACUUUUUUUAAAAAUUUUUGUUUUUUUAAGAGUUUGAUUGGGGCGAUCAAGGAAGAAAAGAUCUUCCUUUUUAGAAUUAUUUGUGAUCCAAAAUUUUUGAUUUAAAGAAUUAGUUACCAAAGGGAUAACAGCGUAAUUUUUUUUGUGAGUUCUUAUUAAAAAAAAAGAUUGCGACCUCGAUGUUGACUUAUAAUUUCCUUUAGGUGCAGCUGCUUAAAAGGUAGGUCUGUUCGACCUUUAAAAUUUU
rnacentral:rRNA from 1 species